AACGUACGCUGGCGGCACGCCUAACACAUGCAAGUCGAACGAAGUAGCAAUACUUAGUGGCAGACGGGUGAGUAACAUGUAGGUAUCUGCCCUUUGGCCUGGAAUAACACGAGGAAACUUGUGCUAAUACCGGAUAAGUCUUUACGGAGAAAGCUUUAUGCACCAUUGGAUGAGCCUGCACUUGAUUAGUUUGUUAGUGGGGUAAUGGCCUACCAAGACUGUGAUCAAUAGCUGAUUUGAGAGGAUGAUCAGCCACAUUGGGACUGAGACACGGCCCAAACUCCUACGGGAGGCAGCAGUGGGGAAUCUUGCACAAUGGAGGAAACUCUGAUGCAGCGAUGCCGCGUGAGUGAAGAAGGCCCUUGGGUUGUAAAGCUCUUUCGUCGGGGAAGAAAAUGACUGUACCCGAAUAAGAAGGUCCGGCUAACUUCGUGCCAGCAGCCGCGGUAAUACGAAGGGACCUAGCGUAGUUCGGAAUUACUGGGCUUAAAGAGUUCGUAGGUGGUUGAAAAAGUUAGUGGUGAAAUCCCAGAGCUUAACUCUGGAACUGCCAUUAAAACUUUUCAGCUAGAGUAUGAUAGAGGAAAGCAGAAUUUCUAGUGUAGAGGUGAAAUUCGUAGAUAUUAGAAAGAAUACCAAUUGCGAAGGCAGCUUUCUGGAUCAUUACUGACACUGAGGAACGAAAGCAUGGGUAGCGAAGAGGAUUAGAUACCCUCGUAGUCCAUGCCGUAAACGAUGUGUGUUAGACGUUGGAAAUUUAUUUUCAGUGUCGCAGGGAAACCGAUAAACACACCGCCUGGGGAGUACGACCGCAAGGUUAAAACUCAAAUGAAUUGACGGGGACCCGCACAAGUAGUGGAGCAUGUGGUUUAAUUCGAAGAUACGCGCAGAACCUUACCAACACUUGACAUGUUCGUCGCGACUCUAAGAGAUUAGAGUUUUCGGUUCGGCCGGACGAAACACAGGUGCUGCAUGGCUGUCGUCAGCUCGUGUCGUGAGAUGUUGGGUUAAGUCCCGCAACGAGCGCAACCCUCACUUUUAGUUGCCAUCAUUAAGUUGGGCACUCUGAAAGAACUGCCAGUGAUAAGCUGGAGGAAGGUGGGGAUGACGUCAAGUCCUCAUGGCCCUUACGUGUUGGGCUACACACGUGCUACAAUGGUAUCUACAACAGGAAGCAAGACUGCGAAGUUAAGCAAAUCCCUAAAAGAUACCUCAGUUCGGAUUGCACUCUGCAACUCGAGUGCAUGAAGCUGGAAUUACUAGUAAUCGUGGAUCAGCGUGCCACGGUGAAUGCGUUCCCGGGUCU
rnacentral:rRNA from 1 species